AUAACACUCUAUGCCGUUAUUGUUUUUUUUAUAACAACAAUUUUCAACAAAAAUGUUCUCAAAGCAAUUUACAUAGAGAGAAAAAGAACGUCGAGGGAAUGUUUCCCUAUGCCCAAAGGGCUCACACAGUCUAAAGCAAAACACAAGGUUUGGCAGAAAGACAAACACCUGGACCAAAGUGACCACCGAACUGGACAGGGAUCCUAAGAGAGCACAGAGACAAGACAUCAGCGGUGCAAGAACUGUUUGCAGAUUUCCUGGCUCACCUGCAUGAGCCACACUCAGCCUUCUCCUCCUGGAUGGGAAGUGAAAGGCUGAUGCCUCUCUCGUGCUGUACCUACGUGGAUUGCUCUUUGGCUCUGUAGUCAACAGACGAAACCACCCCAAAACUUGGUGGAAACGGGUCCUGGAAUGGGGCUGCAGAUAUACCAUGAUGCAUCAUAGAAUGGACUUCUCUCUAAAGUGUUGGACUUUAGUACCCAGGUUAACAGAACUCCCUACCUCACCCCUUAU